rnacentral:rRNA from 1 species
CUACGGGCUGCUGCAGUGAGGAAUAUUGCACAAUGGGGGGAACCCUGGUGUAGCAACGCCGCGUGGAGGAUGACGCAUUUCGGUGUGUAAACUCCUUUUAUAUGUCAAGAAAAUGACGGUAGCAUAUGAAUAAGCACCGGCUAACCCCGUGCCAGCAGCCGCGGUAAUACGGAGGGUGCAAGCGUUACUCGGAAUCACUGGGCGGAAAGGACGCGUAGGCGGGUUGGAAAGUCGGGUGUGAAAUCCUACAGCUUAACUGUAGAACUGCACUUGAAACUUCUAAUCUAGAGUAUGGGAGGGGGAGAUGGAAUUAGUGGUGUAGGGGUAAAAUCCGUAGAUAUCACUAGGAAUACCUAAAGCGAAGGCGAUCUCCUGGAACAUUACUGACGCUAAGGCGUGAAAGCGUGGGGAGCAAACAGGAUUAGAUACCCUCGUAGUC